rnacentral:lncRNA from 1 species
GGUUGCUCUGAGGUCCAUUUGAGGGUGGAUGUGUCCAGGGGAAGUAGUGUAGUGCAUAAAAAAGCUGCUGGCUGAAGAUGGGGGUGGGCAGAGGAUGUUAGUUUUUAUUGUGAUUGUGGAUCUGAGCAAGGUGACUAGCUCCUUUUAAAUCAGGGUUAGUGACAGGUCCUGUCUGCCUUAUUGGUUGGUUCACAGAGGUUGACCAAGAAAGGCUGCACAAUGCCCUAGGAAGAGCAUGGCACUUUUUUGCAGUUGGACCCACAGAUCCUUGCUGUUCUUUAUUUGGAGAGAAUAGGGUAACUACACUGAGUGAUGAGCUUCUCAGAGGCUAUAUGACCCUGUAGCUGAGAGAAAAGCAGGCUGCUGAGUUACACCACCUUCCCCAUACAGCCCACCAGGACUGGGUCACUGAACCUGGCAAGGAAGUGCCUAUUCCUCUGCCACAUGGCACUUGUUCCUUUCCAGAACACGCUGACUACAGCUGCUUUUCACUCCUGAUUCAAAACAUGACUCACGUGGGGACCUCUAUGAUCAAAGAUUACAGGAAGGGGAAAUGACUUGAGUCUAAGCAAUUUGAGAGGGCUUCCUAGAGGAGGAGAAGAGUUACAGUUGGAUAGGGACUGAAACUACACUUUCCUAAAAUGAGUAUAGAAUACCAAAUCCUAAUGAUUUGGGGGAAAUGCAAAAACAAAAAUCACCUUUACUCUCAGGUUUUUGAAAUGUUAUUAUGGAACUCAUGUUACAUGGGACAUACUCAAAAAGUUGCUAUAGAGUAUGUGGGGUGGACCUGGUAGGGUUUCUGGCCUCCAUGGAAUUUUGGCUCUGCUCCCAUUUUCCAGCAAAACAUGUAUCAGAAUGGCUUUAUGAACUUUAUGGUGUCCCCUCCUGCCAGCAGUCCCUUUAUGGAGGCCAUGAAAGAACUUCCUUGUUCGUUGUCAAGUCACAUACCACAUGCUUCAUUUCAAAUGACUCCUCCCAUCAUUCUUUGAGUCUUUUUACAGAGGGCUGUGGAACAGAAGUGAAUUCCUAACACUUCAAGCCUCAUUUAUGUUCUAGGUUCCCUACCAUUCUUUGUUUGCAGGUUUAGCUGUGUUCCUCACACUGAUCUUGAACUCAUGGGCACAUGAUCCCACUGCCUCACCCUCUAGAAUAGCUGGGUCUAAGCUGGGUACAGUGGCACACACCUGUAAUCCCAGCCACGUGGGAGGCUGAGACAGGAGGAUCUCAGUACAAAGUCAGCCUGAGCAAAAGCAAAGCUCUAAGCAAUUCAGUGAGACCCUGUCUCUAAAUAAAAUACAAAAUAGGACUGGGGAUGUGGCUCAGUGGUUGAGUGCCCCUGAGUUCAAUCCCCGGUAACCUUCCCCCCCUUCCAAAAAAAAAGGCUCACAUAGUUGAACAGAUUAUUGGAUUAAGUAACAUAAAUAAUGAUAGAAAAUUGUAAUGCAUACGCUUUGGUUCUGU